CCUUCUGUGGGCUACAUGCUAGUGAACCAGUAAGAUUUGCCCUUGUGCGGUGUCAGUGGUCAUGCUGUGUCAGUCGUGUCGUAGAUGUUGGGUUAAUCCGCACGAGGCACCUUCGUUCCAUGUUGCCAGCGCGUUAUGCGGGGACUCAUGGAGACUCCGGGGUCAACUCGAGAAAGGUGGGAUGACGUCAAUCAUCAUGCCCCUUAUGUCCAGGGCUUCACACAUGCUACAAUGGCCGGUACAAAGGGCUGCUAAGCCGUGAGGUGGAGCGAAUCCCAUAAAGCCGGUCUCAGUUCGGAUCGGGGUCUGCAACUCGACCCCGUGAAGUCGGAGUCGCUAGUAAUCGCAGAUCAGCAACGCUGCGGUGAAUACGUUCCCGGGCCUUGUACACACCGCCCGUCACGUCACGAAAGUCGGUAACACCCGAAGCCCGUGGCCCAACCCGCAAGGGGGGGAGCGGUCGAAGGU
rnacentral:rRNA from 1 species